rnacentral:rRNA from 1 species
GACGAACGCUGGCGGCGUGCUUAACACAUGCCAGUCGAACGGAAAGGCCCUGCUUUUGUUGGGUGCUCGAGUGGCGAACGGGUGAGUAACACGUGAGUAACCUGCCCUUGACUUUGGGAUAACUUCAGGAAACUGGGGCUAAUACCGGAUAGGAGCUCCUGCUGCAUGGUGGGGGUUGGUAAGUUUCGGCGGUUGGGGAUGGACUCGCGGCUUAUCCGCUUGUUGGUGGGGUAGUGGCUUACCAAGGCUUUGACGGGUAGCCGGCCUGAGAGGGUGACCGGCCACCUUGGGACUGAGAGACGGCGCAGACUCCUACGGGAGGCAGCAGUGGGGAAUAUUGCAGAAUGGGCGGAAGCCUGAAGCAGCAACGCCGCGUGCGGGAUGACGGCUUUCGGGUUGUAAACCGCUUUCGCCUGUGACGAAGCGUGAGUGACGGUAAUGGGUAAAGAAGCACCGGCUAACUACGUG